ensembl:lncRNA
AACAAUUCGUACACACUCCACCUGAUUGUCCUUGAUUGUCCCUGUCUUUGCCCACCAUGUUGUGCAGCAGACUUGGACUCUGAUCACAACUUACUGAUCAUGCAAAAACAUUGACAUGGCCCCACUUGUAUACGACCUAAAUAAACAAAUAUAGUGACUUAAUUGGGCGGGGCUCAAGUCAUUCUAGUUUUUUAAUCUUUCCCCACAAAUGCUGCCAUAUUGAGUGAUGUCAAACCUAACGUUACUUCUCGGAGCUCUCAAACUGCAUUUGAUUGUGAAAGUAGAGGCAAGUUUUUUCCAUCCUUUGUCCCUCCCUUCAUGAGUCCUGUUUUAAAUACAGAGCAAGCUUAGUUGGGAGAAGAGCAUCUCCUUCUUGAAUGCACCAGUGACUUCCAUUAGCCAGACGGUGACAACCACAGCGUCUUUUUUACUUGAAGAGGUCUUCGAAAAUACAGAAUUACAGGAAUGGACAGUCAAAGCAGAGCUCUGUUUGCAGUCAUCACAGUGAUGGCGUACAUGGGGAUGGGAGCUGAGGCACAGAACACAGCAGGCUCAGGAAUCAUCUCAAGGGCAAAUUGUGGAAUCACAAAGUUCUGCGCUUCUCAGCCAGAAGGCUGUGACCCAUCUGUGUCUGGAUCCUGUUUCUUCGUCUCAGCCAGUUUAAACUCGGGACAGAACUUUUCAUUCCAGCUUCAAGGACAAUCCAACUUCUACGUCGCUCUAGUGUUGUCCACAACCUUUAUAAUGUUUCCUGCAAACUUAACAAUGGGACAAAUUGACUUCUAUGCGUGUUAUAACAUCAACUACAUCAGCAACAUCAGCAACAUAAUUUCCACACUUGGAAUAACGAUUCCUAACGUGCUGCCCUCUAACCUGGUGAUGGGCUCAGUCAGUGGUCAGACCAUCCAGUGCAUCUUCUCUGCUAUAAUCCCCAAUGCUACUUCCACCAAGAGCAGCAGUACCUCCUUUUUCAUUUCCAUCUACAACGGGACCGUGAUUAAUGGAGUCCCAGGUAUUCCUAAGCUUGUCUAUGUGAGUACUGCAGCCGUGGACCUGUCCAACCCCACCGCCACUGCAACCAACAGUGGUCUACAGCGCACCCUGUCUCAAGCUCUGCUGAUCCUGCUUGGUGGACUAGUUUUCAUCAUGCUGUAAUGUGGAUCUCAGUAGUAAACCACUUCACAUUCCGGAAUUCUGGACCUCUAUGGUUACUGAAGCCAACCAGUCUGGGUUCCCAAGAAUGAAACUAUUUUGAGCAGGGGUAGUAAAGGGUAGUAAGACAUUAGCCUACAGAAUUAAUCCAGUAAUAUAAGUUUAAUGUUGUGUUUACAGUCAAGGCCUUUUCAGGUACAUUAAGCAUUGUUCAACCUCAUUACCUCCAGGAUUACCCCAACAUCAACACGUGUUAAAUUUUGUGACCACAAAACAUAAAAGCCUAGAUUAUAUUGAUGUUGUAUUGAGAAAAUGAAAAUGAGGUAUACACCUAAAACAUCCACCAUGUGUAAUUAUUUGUUUGAGCCCAGUCAUCUUUUACUUCAUCUUACCUGAUGUCAAGUUAUGAAGGAGGACAAUUUUGUCAGAGUGUGUGUGUGUGUGUGUGCAUGGAGUGUAAAUAUUUGCUACAUAUUUGUGUCUAAUGAUGCCACAAGUUGGCAGAAACUGAUACUUGUGUGUUUGUUCUUCAUGAUUUCCCUUCAUGAUUGAAGUUUGAAAUGUAUUUAAUAAGCCUCCUUAGUCUGGAUCCGCGGAUGGAGCCCUCUGUGCACAUUUGCAUAAUAUAAAAAAUACUAUAAUCACUAGAAUCAUGUUUUUUUUAUAGAUAAUAUCUAGGCAUAUUCGUGAAGCCAUCCCUACACAGUAUGAGUUCCUAUGGGGAUCACAUCCUGUAUGAGGUGAAUGUAAGUUCUCACCAAACCUGACCACUGCUGACUAAGCGCGUAUGUAUACAUUUCCAUAAAAGUUAUUAAUAAAAUCAUACGCCUGACUUUUGCAAAUAUCUAGGUAUUCUCAGUCCCGUACAUAGUUUGUGUCCCUAUGGGAAUAACAGCCCAUAGGGACACAAUUGGGCUGUUAUAAAUUGGAACCAAUUGGUCACCCCUGACAGAGCACAGUGUACAUUUCCAUAAAUAUCCAGAAAAGAAAUUACUAGAAUCAUACGGCUGACUUUUGCAAAUAUCUAGGCAUUCUAACAAAGAGAUUGUUACGCAGUUUGUGUUCCUAUGGCCAUUACAGCCAGUUAGAUUUGGACCAAAUCUGUCACCAUUACGCCUUGGAUAAUCCAAGUCUUCCUUUGUUUAGUUAUUGAUUCCAUGAUGCCCAAUCAAAAACAGCGCUUCGACUAUGUUUAUCACGACUGGAGACAUGACGACGCAGGAAUAAUGGGAUGUCAUAGGGGUCAGUCCCAUAGUGACAGUACACAACAUGGGGCAUGCCACAGGUCACCGGUCAAUAAUGGCGAUUACCAACGUAGUUUUCAUACAGUUUAUGCAAGAUAGCUCUUUGAUUUCAACCCAAAACAUUUUAGAACAUAUUUGAACAUAGCCAAGAAGCCGAGGAAGGUUAUUCUGUCCAGCAACACUUUUUACCAGGCGACACGAAUGACCAUUCAACUCAG